CCAUCAUCAGAAUCAUUUGAUAUAUCUCUAAUGAUACUUCUACUGCACCAUCUUGCUGGAUUAAGUAUAUCAGAAAGAUUACCUUUGAAGACAGACACAAGUGUAGAAGCUGAUCUUAGUAGAAUUAAAUAUUACAGAAAUACGUAUUUCCAUUCUGCAUUAAUUGAGAUCGGUCCAGAUGAAUACGCUGCUGCAUGGAGUGACUUAUGCGAGGCCAUUAAAAGACUAGGAGGGGAAAUCUACAACACAAUUGUGCAAAAUGGGAAUUUGCAUCGCUUGAUAUCUUUCACAAGAAUUCAAUAUUAGAAAUACGGAAUGCUGAAGCUGAAAUUCUAUAUUUGCGAGAGGAUGUUAAAAGACUUCAACAUGCGCAAUCAGAACUAUAUCGAUUAAAUCCUAAAUUACGGGGCAGGCAAAACGUAUUACCAGAGAAAAAACGGAUAACAACUGAAAAAUAUAACGAACCAUUUCUCGAACCAAAGGUUAUUUCAGAUGGACUACAAGUUUUAGAAGAAAAGGGUUUAGUAAUAUUGACUGGGGGAGUAGGCACAGGUAAAAGUACAAAUGCGUUAGAAAUAAUACGAUAUUACUGUCAGCGACAUGCCGAUUACGAUAUUCAGAGAUUGCCUUAUACAUUUGAAGAAUGCAAAAUCAAUAUUUGGGAAAAUGAAAUGUCAUUUGUAAACCCUCGUAUGCCAUUUGACAUAAUAAAAGGAGCAACAAAAGUUGUCCUGUUGUUUGAUGUUUUAUUAUGUACUGA